ensembl:lncRNA
AUCUGAUAAGCUGACGUCAUGAUCUGACCUGUCACCCCCAUCAUAUGCCGUAUAGGCGUGAAAUGACCAACUCUCACAACAUAAAAGACGAUGCACAGCUCAGCAUCUUCGGUUUUUCUUGGGCUGUUAAUCACUGCUAAGACCUACUCCUGAAUUUCUGUCCACAGUAAAGCCUGCUGACUCCAAAUGCUGACAUUUCUUGGUGAUUUUUGAAAGUAUUUAAAGAGGCUCAUUUGAACACAGUCAAGUCUUAGAUUCUGGCCAUGAUUUGUGACUUAGUUUCUACUUCAUCAGUAUUGAGACAUAAACUCCAAACUACCAUGAGUCAUUAUUGCGAAAUACUGACCCAUUGAGAUAACAUCACGAGGUAAGAAAGCUCAUUCUUUCACUCACUUUCUUUGUUUUCGGUGCAGGGGCUUGUAUAAACUCCUGGGUGUGUCCAAUAGUAUGACAGGCGAUCCAGUGCAGAGUUAGGAGUGGUGCUUUUAGGUGAGGCUUAAACUUGUGAUUUUAACACAGAUCAUGUGCACAACUUUAGUGGACUCCAUCGACCGUAGCAUGAAUGUGAACCUGGCAAGUCUGCAGCACAAUCACGCUGCCUUCAGCAGAGUCUCAAAGUGUUUACUAGAAAGAGCAGAUUGUGUUGAGGGCAAAGGGUGGCAGUAUCAGUAAGGUGCUCCUAUUCAUGUGCUUGGUGCAGCAGGUCUAACAGCGACCGCCACUGCAGGCAUGGCUACUGCUGGAGCUGGUGUUGGAGCAGUAGCAGGAAAGCUGACCAACAGUCUGAUUAAAUAAACUGAAAUGGUCUUUAAGACUGCAAAAUGGAGAAUUCCGACUGACAUUAUUAUUGCUAAUUAUGUUGUCCACUUACUAAUAGGCACUUUCUUAUGAUUCCAGACAUUUCUGUAGUAUUUCAGUUCCCCUUACUGUCCUGUGAAUGAACUAAAUAUUGUUCAGUAACUUAAUUUCAGUGCACUGAAGUGUAAUUGAACACAGCUGUAAGAUGUUUAGCCAAGAUAAUGAGGUUGUUUUGACUGAAUGUAAUUGGAACUGAAGGAAAUUGAGAUAAUGCUUUAUUAUGAACAUGUCCAACUUUUAUUAAUAAAAAAAAAUUAAGCUAA